CAAUAGCGUAUAUUAAAGUUGUUGCGGUAAAAAAGCUCGUAGUUGGAUUUCUGUUGAGAGCGACCGGUCCAUACCAUGUAUGCGUAUCUGGCUUGCUCUCGGCAUCCUCUCGAUAGACGUUACUGCGCUUGAUUGCGUGGUGCGGAUCUCGGGACUUUUACUUUGAGGAAAUUAGAGUGUUCACGGCAGGCUUUCGCCAGAAUACAUUAGCAUGGAAUAAUACUAUAGGAUCUUGGUUCUAUUUUGUUGGUUUCUAGAAUUGAGAUAAUGAUUAAUAGGGACAAUUGGGUGCAUUCGUAUCAACACGUCAGAGGUGGAAUUCUUGGAUUGUGUUGCGACGAACUACUGCGAAAGCAUUUGCCAAGGAUGUUUUCAUUGA
rnacentral:rRNA from 1 species